UCCCUUGCCAUUCCCAUUUCUUCUCCAUCGGUAAGAUUGACUAGUAGCGACGGCGAUGGCAACAGUGAUGGAGCCAUCACCACACGCCACUGUUGAUAAUUAAGUUGCAUUAAUUAAAUUUAAUUAAUUGAUAAUUGAAGGAGGGGGGUGUAAAAAAUUUUGAUUAAACCAUCUAAACCGUCCAAUCUGAUCCGAACCGAACUAAAUAUGACGGUUUGGUGGUU
rnacentral:lncRNA from 1 species